GAUGUGAAUUCUUAAAUUUAAGAAUUGUGAAACCCUAAAUUUUGAAUUUCUGAGGGGGUUGAUAAAGGACAGUAGUUUUUGGUUGCACUGUCUCGUGCAGGGUCCCGCCAUAGCCAGCGGACCAGACUCUGCACGCUUGAAUGAGGCGCUCGCGCAUGAGGGCGCCCUCAACAGUCCCAUCGCACGUGCCUGAUUGAGAGCGAUGGCACGACGCAAUCGCUGGUCUCAGAGUCGCUUCAAAAUUUGAGGCGGGACCGGGGCGAUAGUGGACUCGCCUGGCGAAGUUGGAUGACGGGCCUUGCAGUGACGGCGAGUGGCGAAAUUGGAACGAAGUUUUCGAGCUGGUGAAGGAACAGGACGGCGCUCGUCCGAUUGUUGCCUGUGAGGCGAGGUGCUAUGAAUGGGGUACCAUCUCAGGGUUGUGCAAGAGUGAUAUUUCUGCUUCAGAGUCGAAGCUAACGUCUUUGGCGUAAGUGUUCGGAAGCCCGGUCAGUAGCCGUCUGUGGACAAUAUUUUUCGUAAUGGGAACCACCUCUACCAGUGGUGAUUUUUGUUCGCAGGUUGCGGUUCGUAACCGUGUUCUGGCUAAUUGUGCUUCGAGUUGGUUGCUGGUGAUGGAUCAUGCAGAGCCAUUUGUGAGAUUGACUACUUUUUCGUCUUUUUCUUCCUUUUUCUUCGUUUCCGUCUUGCAUUACGUCGCUGUGAGUUGAUUUAUGUUUGGAUGUUCAUUGCAUCUAUGGUUUGGUCGCGUUGGCAAGUUAUAUCCCGGUCGCGGCAUAGUAAGUGCGCUGAAUUAGUUUGUGCAUAUUUCUUUGCUAACUUUUGGUCCUGCUUUCCUUGCUUUAUUUUUCAAGAUGGUCGCCUGUGUUUAAAGUGAAUCACUUUUCUCAAACUUUCAGCCACAUUGUUUUUACAUGGCACAACUUUCUAGCUUGCAGACUGAUUCAAUGUGAAUUUGGUUCUUCGUAUUUAUUCUGUUUAUUCGUGGUCAACUUUGUUCGCACAUCCAUGGGAAUUAACAAUUUUACAAGUUGUUUAUCUUCGGUGUAUCACUGAGUCAACUAGGAUUUUGCUUGUCACAUAUCAGGCGAGUUAGGAUUACAAGUAACUACGAGAUUGACGCCCACUUUCAAAUGGGUUGAUAUACUGGCUUUCGUCUGACAUCAUCAUGGACUGUUAUGUGCCUGUCCCUCUUUAGUUGUGUCUUAAUAAUUUUCGCUACCUUUCGCACCUUGCAUGGUGCUUAAGUCCUUGAGAAUUGAUGCUAUAUCUAUGCAGCUGAUGAGUCCAUGUAUUUCGCAAUUUCUAGCAGUGUACCUUUCUAGACAAAUUUGAGUUCAUUCAUGAUGUUGAUUCGUUUUUUAAUUGGGCUUUUCUUACUCCUUUGUCCUCAUGUUUGGUAAUUGAGGCACUCAUUUGGUUUUCUCUGCUUGACAUCCAUAGGCUUGUGACGCUUGGUGAUUGGAUACACUUCAGGUUCACUUGACUCUCGUUGCGACUAUUUUUUUAAACAAUAUACGUGAUCGCCGCAAAUUUUAGUUUCCAGUAUUCUCCACACAAGACGUGAUAGCUCCACCCGUUGUGACCUCGUACUACGUGUACGGCCUUGUAACCUCUGAAUAUCCAUCUUUGUUCAGUAAUGCUACCUUCACAGGCAAGGGCCAAAACACCUCUUAUUGGAUUUCGGAGGGAUUGUCAUCUUCAUCUCGUCCUCUUGUCUGCUAGCUUAGAAUCAUGACUGCUGCUGUCUGAAAUCACUGCAACAGUUUCAUAAAUCCUGCGACCGGCCUAAUUCUGGAAAAAUAUUAUGUGCUGAACGUACCCAUUUAGAAUCCUCAUUUGAUUCAUUGACGAAGGAGAUGCUUACACACUUCGUUGCGAGUCAGACACGACUUGCUCAAAUUUACCCAUGUGAGGCUCCAUUAGUUCAUUUCCACGGUUCCACCACUCUGUCAGAUGGCUCAAUAACUUCCAUGAAAGAUGACCCAGAAAAUUCAAGAUGAGAAUGGUGGAAAAAAUCUUCUAAAAACUUUCGAAGAUCUUAGUCACAUAGGGUCUUUCCUCAAGGUUGAUUUUGUAUUUUAACCAUUUAACAAGUGAAGAUGCUUCUUUCAUGUUUUGUGUUAAAAAGUCUAUGCAUUGUUACAGAUGGAAAUCAAAAUGGAGAAUUACAAGUCGUCAGUUGAAGUUGCUUGUAUCAUAAAUGUAUACAUCAUUUACAAAUCUAUUUGAGAUAUUGUAUUAAAGAUAUUUUAAAUCUCUAUAUUACAAGUUUACAUGGUAUUACUUAAAAAGAGAUGAUUAUUAAAGAGAUGACUAUUACUUAA
rnacentral:lncRNA from 1 species